rnacentral:rRNA from 1 species
CCAGGCUUGAAAUCCUCGGAAUUUUGACGAAAGUCGAGAGUGCCUUCGGGAACCGAGUGACAGGUGAUGCAUGGCCGUCGUCAGCUCGUGUCGUGAGAUGUUUGGUUAAGUCCAUCAACGAGCGCAACCCUUGUGAAUAGUUGAAUUUUUCUAUUCAGACUGCCCUGGUAACAGGGAGGAAGGGGGGGAUGAUGUCAGGUCAGUAUUUCCCUUACGUCUGGGGCUACAAACACGCUACAAUGGCCGGUACAAAGGGCUGCCAAGUCGCGAGACGGAGCAAAUCCCAUCAAAGCCGGUCUCAGUUCGGAUUGCAGGCUGAAACCCGCCUGCAUGAAGUCGGAAUCGCUAGUAACGGUAAGUCAGCACAUUACCGUGAAUACGUUCCC